GAUGAACGCUGGCGGCGUGCCUAAUACAUGCAAGUCGAGCGAACGGACGAGAAGCUUGCUUCUCUGAUGUUAGCGGCGGACGGGUGAGUAACACGUGGAUAACCUACCUAUAAGACUGGGAUAACUUCGGGAAACCGCAGCUAAUACCGGAUAAUAUUUUGAACCGCAUGGUUCAAAAGUGAAAGACGGUCUUGCUGUCACUUAUAGAUGGAUCCGCGCUGCAUUAGCUAGUUGGUAAGGUAACGGCUUACCAAGGCAACGGUGCAUAGCCGACCUGAGAGGGUGAUCGGCCACACUGGAACUGAGACACGGUCCAGACUCCUACGGGAGGCAGCAGUAGGGAAUCUUCCGCAAUGGGCGAAAGCCUGACGGAGCAACGCCGCGUGAGUGAUGAAGGUCUUCGGAUCGUAAAACUCUGUUAUUAGGGAAGAACAUAUGUGUAAGUAACUGUGCACAUCUUGACGGUACCUAAUCAGAAAGCCACGGCUAACUACGUG
rnacentral:rRNA from 1 species